UUUAUUUUUUUUUUUUUUUUUCUCCGUCAGACGAACGCCUGGCCGGCGUGCCUUAAUACAUGCAAAGUCGAGCCGACCAGAUGGGAAGCUUGCUUCCCUGAUUUCAGCGGCCGAACGGGUGAGUAACCACGUGGGUAACCUGCCUGUUAGGACUGGGAUUAAUUCCGGGAAACCCGGGCUUAUUCCCGAAGGCUGAAUGAACCGCCUUGUUUCAUUAUUAAAAGUGGGUUUCAGCUACCACUUACAGAUGGACCCGCGGCGCAUUAGCUAGUUGGUGAGGUAACGGCUCACCAAGGCGACGAUGCGUAGCCGACCUGAGAGGGUGAUCGGCCACACUGGGACUGAGACACGGCCCAGACUCCUACGGGAGGCAGCAGUAGGGAAUCUUCCGCAAUGGACGAAAGUCUGACGGAGCAACGCCGCGUGAGUGAUGAAGGUUUUCGGAUCGUAAAACUCUGUUGUUAGGGAAGAACAAGUACCGUUCGAAUAGGGCGGUACCUUGACGGUACCUAACCAGAAAGCCACGGCUAACUACGUGCCAGCAGCCGCGGUAAUACGUAGGUGGCAAGCGUUGUCCGGAAUUAUUGGGCGUAAAGCGCGCGCAGGCGGUUUCUUAAGUCUGAUGUGAAAGCCCCCGGCUCAACCGGGGAGGGUCAUUGGAAACUGGGGAACUUGAGUGCAGAAGAGGAGAGUGGAAUUCCACGUGUAGCGGUGAAAUGCGUAGAGAUGUGGAGGAACACCAGUGGCGAAGGCGACUCUCUGGUCUGUAACUGACGCUGAGGCGCGAAAGCGUGGGGAGCGAACAGGAUUAGAUACCCUGGUAGUCCACGCCGUAAACGAUGAGUGCUAAGUGUUAGAGGGUUUCCGCCCUUUAGUGCUGCAGCAAACGCAUAAGCANUCCGCNUGGGA
rnacentral:rRNA from 1 species